AAUUCAUCUAGGAUAUGUGAAAUAACCAUUUAAAAAUUGAAAGAGAGAAUGUUGGGGAAAAUUUUAUUACCAGAUAAUGCUUAUUAUAAACCUGUAAGUUAAAAUAAUUUGAUACUGACCGAGGACUAAAUUAAGAAUCAACUAACUUUAUUGUUGAAGGAAGUAAGACUUAAAGAAUUUAAGUUGCCCAAGGUCACAGAACUCCAAAUGAAUAAUGUCAGACUUCCAAACCCACACUCAACCACACUGCAAUGCUACCUUCCUAAAAUAUACAUAAAUACAUGUAUUCAGAAAAACUAUAAAUAAGAAGUACAUUAAAAUAUUAAUAUUAGUUAUCAUAGGUGACAGAAUUAUGGGAUGACUGUUCAUUUUUCCCCCAUACCCUUUUUUGAAUUUUUUCAAAUGUACUACAAAGAACAUGUAUUGCUUUUAUAACUGGACAAAAAGAACAAUACCUUCUAUUUUCAGAAACCAAAACUUCAUUGCCCCUUCAAUAUGGGAAUCCAGCCAGACCUUAUUCUUGGACAGCAUCAGUGAAACGGGCUUGGGAAAGCUCUUGGGCGUAGCAGCAGAGGCAUGUCAUAUAUGGAAACCUUCCAUGAGGGUGACCUCACCACUGGAACCCAUUCAACAUAAACCUUGUCGCAAGAACUAGCAGAGCUCUUUGGACAAAACGUGCUCACCAAGAUGGAAGAACAGAGCCUGUAGGUCCACUUACUAAAUGGAUUCCCACUUUACAGUGAAGACGGAGCUUGCAGUAACCACAAAAGUUUCUGUAUAAGCAAAUUUAGGGAAUUGAAUUUCAGACAGUGUGGUUGUCUCCUUACUUACGAACUUGGAAUACCUACCUAGGUAACAACUAGCAUCAAAGGUUUUUGAUCUGUAGCCUUUCUUUCUGUCCAUAAUUGGCUAGUAGCUUCCGCUGUAUAUACAAACCAUUCCCUGUCUGAGAAAAUUAAACUAUAUCAUCAGAGUAAGAA